rnacentral:lncRNA from 1 species
UCCUCUUUCCUCUUCCUCUCUGCAAUUCCUCCUCCCACUCCUGUUUCUUUUAAAUUCAAUCUUUGUUGCAUAUCUCUGUUGACUAUAAUCUUAUUAGCUCUUUUCGGUGACUAUAAUCUUCUUGCUCUUUUUGCUGACUCCUUCAACCGCCGUAACUCGUCACCCUCCUCCGAUCACUCUGAACCAUCUAACCCCCCGCAUCUUAACCUUUAAUUGGGUCUACGUUUGCGCGGGUAGGAAUUACUCCAUUUUUUUGUUGGGUAUUGAGUUGUAUGCUUUUAUUGCUGGUUACCAUUGUACACAAGGCAGAUUUGGGGAACAUAAAUUGAUUAGUUUUUGUUUUUUUUUCCUCUUCAUAGUGGUUGAAUUUUGAGCGCCUCUUCGGGGGAGAAAAGAGCUCUUGGUUAAUUACCGAUAUGGCAUAUGCUAAAAGGGCAAAUUGGGCACAAAAUGAAUUGAUGAAGUAAGUAAAUGGGGACCGCUGCGGAAAUAUCAGUUUCCUUUAUUUAAACAUAGAUUGCAAAACAUUCACAACUUCCUUUCACGUUUUAUCCUUUUAUGAUUAUCUGCUUCUCCUGGCUUCUCAGUCUCCUCAGUACUCGCGCCAACCCACUUCUCUACCGGGGAUUCGCUGGAGAAAGAAAGAACACGAGAAAAAAAUAGAGUAGGUAAUUCCUUAAUUUUCUAUUGCAUGUUUGCUUUAUUUCUUUUUCAAUUCAUGACUCUCUCUAUUGUCGUCAAAUCGUGAAGAGCACGUAAAUUUCUUUAACUUUUGUUCUGUCUGUAAAAUUUAGUGUCUUUAUUUCAUGUUAUAUUCAAUCUAUAGGUGGAACACAUUGUUAGGAUGUAAUGUGCACUUCUUUCUUUUAACUUUGAUAUGCAAACCAGGUGUUUUAUGAAAUUCUAAGAGAUUAUUAUAUUUACUUGUUUUUUCAUUUUUUUAACAUGCUUUAAUAGGUCUUGCUUUGAUAGUUUUAGAUGAUUUUUGUUAGUGUGCAUCAUACAAACUCAAUUAUUUGAGGAAUUAUGAAGGGAGUAACUUGUUCAAGCCUUAGAUAUCAGUAAUGCAGUUAGGAAUAAUUCAUGUGGAAAUAUUUGUCAGGUUGUGAGGAAUAUGUGGAAUAAGCCUAAUGUAUAUUAGUAUUUUGGAUUAUUCUUUUAGAUUAUUAUUAUGAAAAAAAUGGUGUUUUACACUAAAAACAGGUUUUGUGGAAGAUGGGUCCACUUUGUGGUGUAACUGAACGAUUCAGCUUACCAAGUUUGGUAAUGCUGAUUUUUGUAUGAGAGCGACCACUUUGUAUGCUAAAGGUUGAGACCGUAUCCAGAAAUCUUCGUAUGUGGGGAGCAACAAUCAGUAUUGAAAUUUAAAGGUUACCAAAUGUUGUAUCUCAGGUGUUUUACUUUUGCAUAAAGCCCUUUCUAAUUUGUUCCCCUUAUUAUACUGUAAGACUGAAAGCCAUGGUACAUAUUUUUAGUAGCGACAAUGGCUACAAAUCUCUCUUUCAAACUCAGAUUUCUUGAACCUGCUCUACAGUGGAAAUUGCAAACCCCAAUUUUGUAUGCAAAAGUAUGAGUCUCUCUGUCUUUUGUGUAUGGUUUUUUUCCACAUGGGAACUAUUUUCUUAGCUUAAUUGAUGCAGGGGUUUCACUUGCAGUUCUUCUUGCAGGCUAGAACAGUAGCUUUACCUCUGACCACUCGAAAGUUCAAUGGAGGCAUCCAAAGGAAAAUGUCGGAAUCUAGAGCUAGUUAUGAAACUUGCCAACAAAGUCAAAUCCAGGAAUUGGUUGAUCUCCUACACGAUUGUACAGAAAAUAGGUCAGUUCGAGAUUCAGAAGCAGUUUAUGGUUAUUUGUUAAAAUGUAACCUCUUGG